rnacentral:rRNA from 1 species
AACUCCGGGAAACCGGGGCUAAUACCGGAUAUCAUUUUGAACUGCAUGGUUCUAAAUUGAAAGGCGGCUUCGGCUGUCACUUAUGGAUGGACCCGCGUCUCAUUAGCUAGUUGGUGAGGUAACGGCUCACCAAGGCAACGAUGCGUAACCGACCUGAGAGGGUGAUCGGCCACACUGGGACUGACACACGGCGGGAGGCAGCAGUAAGGAAUCUUCCGCAAUGAACGAAAGUCUGACGGACCACCGCCGCGUGAGUGAUGAAUGCUUUCCGGUCGUAAAACUCUGUUGUUAAGAAAAAACAAGUGCUAAUUGAAUAAGCUGGCACCUUGACGGUACCUAACCAGAAAGCCACGGCUAACUACCUGCCACCACCCGCGGUAAUACGUAGGUGGCAAGCGUUAUCCGGAAUUAUUGGGCGUAAAGCGCGCGCAGGUGGUUUCUUAAGUCUGAUGUGAAAGCCCACGGCUCAACCGUGGAGGGUCAUUGGAAACUGGCAUACUUGAGUGCAAAAAAGGAAAGUGUAAUUCCAUGUGUAGCGGUGACAUGCAUAUAGAUAUGGAGGAACACCAGUGGCGAAAGCUACUUUCUGGUCU